rnacentral:ncRNA from 1 species
CCAGUAUGCGCCAUAUGGAGCGCCUUAGACAUUGACCAGGCUUAAUAGGGAAUCCCGUUAAAAGCGGGAGCGGACCCGCCGCCGUAAGCCGAUACCCGCCGCAUUCCCGGACCGUAGCAACGGCCCGAAAGUCACUGGGGACCACCCCGGGAAGACGGAAACGCGGUCGGCAAGCCGGAAGACCUGCUCCAUACAGUCAGACAGGA